rnacentral:rRNA from 1 species
ACUCCUACGGGAGGCAGCAGUGGGGAAUAUUGCACAAUGGGCGCAAGCCUGAUGCAGCCAUGCCGCGUGUAUGAAGAAGGCCUUCGGUUGUAAAGUACUUUCAGCAGUGAGGAAGGUGGGUAUGUUAAUAGCAUAUUCAUUUGACGUUAGCUGCAGAAGAAGCACCGGCUAACUCCGUGCCAGCAGCCGCGGUAAUACGGAGGGUGCGAGCGUUAAUCGGAAUUACUGGGCGUAAAGCGCAUGCAGGUGGUUGUUAAGUCAGAUGUGAAAGCCCGGGGCUCAACCUCGGAAUUGCAUUUGAAACUGACAAACUAGAGUACUGUAGAGGGGGUA